AAGCAUUAUCCUACAUGUUUUGUCUAGUGCUCCUCCCGUAACAACGUACAGGACUACAGUGUCAAUCCCGUCGUGUGCGCCUGUGCCUGUGCCUGUGCCUGUGCAGGAGAGAGCUUCAGCUCGCUAGAGACUCAUUUUUCUUGAUUUAAACGCUGUCUGAUCAUCUUGUAUAUAUAUAUUACACACUAUGUAUUUGAAAAAGAAAAAGAAAUGCGUGGUUAUUUUUCAUUUUCGGUUCUAUAUUUAAUUUAAAAAAAGAUUAUUGAUCGAUACCUGAAAUUGAGCUUGCCAUGACAGUUGAGAGAUUGGACAAAUACAGGCCCAGUUGAGUUGUAGCUGGUGUCCUUAUUAGAGAUGCGAGUAUAUAUUUUUGAAAUAUAGAUAAGCUUAAUUAAUUUGCUAGUAUAUAUUAUUGGUGUGUUGGGUUGAUAUUUUGGUUGUGCUUCACAAUCAUGCCGAAUAUAUUUACAAUAAUAUGAU
rnacentral:lncRNA from 1 species